AAACACUGGUAUUGAAUCAUACUCAUCGUCAUCAUUCUUAAAAAUCGUCAAAGUGAAUAAUGUAAAUUAAGCUUUAUAGGCAGACAUGAAGUUAUUCGGAAUCAUAGUUCUUGUUGCUCUGUUGAUGGUGGCCUCAGUUAGAAUGCCAGUUGGAAAAAGAUAAACAAACAGGAAAUGUGACGGAAUGAUGACUUAUUCCAAUCCAGAUUGAUCAACAAUGACCAGUCCAUACAUUGUAUCAAAAUAUGUGUUUAGGCACAACGUUCAUGGUGGUAAAUAUCGCGGUUACCAUAAGAGGGGUGGAAUUUACAAAUAUAGAGGAUGAUAAAUUGAAACAGAAAUCAACUUUUUGCGUGUUUGAAAUG